GACGAACGCUGGCGGCGUGCUUAACACAUGCAAGUCGAGCGGUAAGGCCUUUCGGGGUACACGAGCGGCGAACGGGUGAGUAACACGUGGGUGAUCUGCCCUGCACUUCGGGAUAAGCCUGGGAAACUGGGUCUAAUACCGGAUAUGACCUCCUAUCGCAUGGUGGGUGGUGGAAAGAUUUAUCGGUGCAGGAUGGGCCCGCGGCCUAUCAGCUUGUUGGUGGGGUAAUGGCCUACCAAGGCGACGACGGGUAGCCGACCUGAGAGGGUGACCGGCCACACUGGGACUGAGACACGGCCCAGACUCCUACGGGAGGCAGCAGUGGGGAAUAUUGCACAAUGGGCGAAAGCCUGAUGCAGCGACGCCGCGUGAGGAAUGACGGCCUUCGGGUUGUAAACCUCUUUCAGCAGGGACGAAGCGCAAGUGACGGUACCUGCAGAAGAAGCACCGGCUAACUACGUG
rnacentral:rRNA from 1 species